rnacentral:rRNA from 1 species
UAGGGAAUCUUCCGCAAUGGACGCAAGUCUGACGGAGCAACGCCGCGUGAUUGAAGAAGGAUUUCGGUUCGUAAAACUCUGUUGUUAGAGAAGAACAGCGCAUAGAGUAACUGUUAUGCGUGUGACGGUAUCUAACCAGAAAGCCACGGCUAACUACGUGCCAGCAGCCGCGGUAAUACGUAGGUGGCAAGCGUUGUCCGGAUUUAUUGGGCGUAAAGCGAGCUCAGGCGGUCAAUUAAGUCUGAUGUGAAAGCCCCCGGCUCAACCGGGGAGGGUCAUUGGAAACUGGUUGACUUGAGUGCAGAAGAGGAGAGUGGAAUUCCAUGUGUAGCGGUGAAAUGCGUAGAUAUAUGGAGGAACACCAGUGGCGAAGGCGACUCUCUGGUCUGUAACUGACGCUGAGGCUCGAAAGCGUGGGUAGCAAACAGG